rnacentral:tRNA from 2 species
AAGACACUAGUAAAACUGUUGAUUACACUGCCUUGUCAAGGCAGAAUCGUGGGUUAGAACCCCGCGUGUCUUG